AGGUGAUUGAUGCCCGGUGAGAGGGUGAAAGGGACCUAUACCCCCGUCAUCUGCAGGAAAGGAACAAAGAGACAGGUGAUUGAUGCCCGGUGAGAAGGUGAAAGUGAGCUAUACCCCCGUCAGCUGCAGGAAAGGAACCAAGAGACAGUGGACAACCUCCAGACCCUGAAAGACUAGAGUGUCAUGAUUGCCUUUAUGAACCAGAUUCAUAUGUUCAAUGAAUCUAGGGACUCCUUUCCUGGAUCUAAUAGAGUAAACGUGUUCCCUGAAGCGAGUGUUCAUCGCUCGCUUUGUGCUUCCUACAUAGAAUCUCCCACAGGUACAGUUCAUUGCAUAAACCACCCACUGAGUUCUGCAAGUUAUUAACAUUUUAAUAGGAAUUUCUUCUCCUCCUACAAAGGCUGUUUUGCCUGUCUUAAGGUGUGGGCACCAAAUGCAAGAGCCGCACCUGUGGUUACCCACAGGGCCGGCUCCAGUCAACCAAUCUUUCUUUACAGAUUUUGAAGUGAAGUUGCUACUAGUAACGACAUCUUUCAAAUUUUUGCAACGUCUGAAUGUUACCAAUGGUUUCUCAUUCAAAAUUUUACACAAAUCAUUAUCAUUCAUAAUAAGUGGCCAGUUCUUAUGCACAGCAGAUCUGAUGAUUUUCUCAAGGGGGCUAAAUUUAAAUGAAAAAGAAA